rnacentral:rRNA from 1 species
GAACGAAGCACCGGAGAAUGAUUCUUCGGAUGAAGUCUCUUGUGACUGAGUGGCGGACGGGUGAGUAACGCGUGGGUAACCUGCCUCACACAGGGGGAUAACAGUUGGAAACGACCGCUAAUACCGCAUAACCCGCUGGUGCCGCAUGGCACUGACGGAAAAGAUUUAUCGGUGUGAGAUGGACCCGCGUCUGAUUAGCCAGUUGGCAGGGUAACGGCCUACCAAAGCGACGAUCAGUAGCCGGCCUGAGAGGGUGAACGGCCACAUUGGGACUGAGACACGGCCCAGACUCCUGCGGGAGGCAGCAGUGGGGAAUAUUGCACAAUGGGGGAAACCCUGAUGCAGCGACGCCGCGUGAGUGAAGAAGUAUUUCGGUAUGUAAAGCUCUAUCAGCAGGGAAGAAAAUGACGGUACCUGAUUAAGAAGCCCCGGCUAACUACGUGCCACCAGCCGCGGUAAUACGUAGGGGGCAAGCGUUAUCCAGAUUUACUGGGUGUAAAGGGAGCGUAGACGGUGAUGCAAGUCAGAAGUGAAAGCCCGGGGCUCAACUCCGGGACUGCUUUCCAAACUGUGUGACUGGAGCGCAGGAGCAAUACCCAGAAUUCCUGGUGUAGCGGUGAAAUGCGUAGAUCUCUAGGGAAACACCAGNGGCGAAGGCGGCANAAAGGAAAGNAANNGACGNNGAGGCUCGAAAACGUGGGGGGCUCUCAAGGUGNNNNNNNNNANNAAACAAAAAAAAAAGAGGGCUCACUGAUUGUUGUCGGGGAGCAAAGCUCUUCGGUGCCGCAGCAAACGCAUUAAAUAUUCCACCUGGGGAGUACGUUCGCAAGAAUGAAACUCAAAGGAAUUGACGGGGACCCGCACAAGCGGUGGAGCAUGUGGUUUAAUUCGAAGCAACGCGAAGAACCUUACCAGGUCUUGACAUCCCUCUGACCGGGAUUUAAUCAUCCCUUUCCUUCGGGACAGAGGAGACAGGUGGUGCAUGGUUGUCGUCAGCUCGUGUCGUGAGAUGUUGGGUUAAGUCCCGCAACGAGCGCAACCCUUACCUUCAGUAGCCAGCGGUUCGGCCGGGCACUCUGGAGGGACUGCCAGGGACAACCUGGAGGAAGGUGGGGAUGACGUCAAAUCAUCAUGCCCCUUAUGAUCUGGGCUACACACGUGCUACAAUGGCGUAAACAAAGGGAAGCGAGACAGUGAUGGCAAGCAAAUCUCAGAAAUAACGUCUCAGUUCGGAUUGCAGUCUGCAACUCGACUGCAUGAAGCUGGAAUCGCUAGUAAUC